GUAGAUUUCUCCUUUGUCCUCAAGUUUUGAACCAGUUUCAAAGAGACGUGUUUCCUUGUUUUGUUUCCUUGUUUUGCUGCAGCAACACUCUAGAAAAUAUCACCCUGUGGAUAAACAGCAUGAUGUUUAUGAAUCUAGAUAUGUCUGUGAAUGUUACUGAAUGUCCUUGAACGCAUCAUGGUAGAGAAACUCAGGUGACUUAAUGUAAAUGAGGAAGGGAGGGGCUCAUGUUUCACAGGUAGCAGGAAGUGAAGAGAAACUCUGAAGAACGAGUGAAUUAAAUCAAGUCUCUCUAAGAGUUGAAGUCCAGAAGAUGGAAGAUCAGGACAGAGCAGAACCUCCAGGACCCAUCAGUCCAUCUAUGAGGAGUGACCGGUCCAAAGAUCCUCCUCCAGAGUUCAGUAAUGAACCUGGACCAUCAGACAGAAAGAGCUGUGAGUGUGAAGAAAGACCCAGAACAGGAGCUGAACGGCCGACA